GAACAUGGAAACGUGUAGGUGUGUGUAUCUAGCUUUUACCUUGUUUGAGGGUAUUUGUGAAGGUGAACAAAGUGAUUGGUGAUCACUGGCAACAACUGACUGCAUUAACAGGACGGACAACAAUAAUUCCCAUUUGAUGUAAAAAAACAUGUUUUGUUUCGUGCAUAGUCCAUUCCUAUAUUGCAACCAGAGCAAACUUGUUGAUGAAGAAUGAUGCUUUCCUGGCAGGAUGCAAACAUGGCAAAGAACUGAGAUUUUAUGCGGAAGAACAUAGGUAGGUGAAGAGCUUCCACAAGUGACAAGUUGGCGCCCAACAGUAUCAGAAAAAUUCUGUUCAACUUGCACCAAUUAAGAAAAGAAGACGUAACAAAUAGACUUGAUAUUUCCAGCUUGUUCAACAGAUGGCAGCUCAUAUAAUUACUUCG
rnacentral:lncRNA from 1 species